rnacentral:lncRNA from 10 species
UAUUUUAAUAUUAAAUUAUGGCAAAUAUUUUAAAUUUAAAAGUAGAUAUAUAUAAAUUAGUAUGAUUUUUAAAAUAAUUUCAAUAAUUGUUUUAAAAAGUAAUUUUAAUACAUGUCAAUAAUUUAUUUUAGACUCAAGGGGUACACGCACAGGUUUGUUGCAUGGGUAUGUUGCACGAUGCUGAGGUUUGGGGUACGGAUCCCGUCACCCAGGUAGUGAGCAUAGUUUUUCAACUCAUGCCCAUCCCUCAUUCCCUUCUUCCAAUUAGUAUGAUUACAACUAAGAAUUUUACUUUUACAGCUCUAAUUUAAUACAUAUUGAUCUAGACCUGGCAAUAAAUAUUCUGCUCUAAGAAAGGUUUUAUGUUAAAUAACAUGGUAGUUAGUCCCUUCAAAAUAAAAAAUGUUGAUUAAGAAUACCAGCACGGGCCCGGCGCGGUGGCUCACACUUGUAAUCUCAGCACUUUGGGAGGCCGAGGGUGGAUCAUCUGAGGUCAGGAGUUCAAGACCAGCCUGGCCAACAUGGUGAAACCUGUCUCUAGUAAAAAUACAAAAAUUAGCCAAGCGUGGUGGCAGGCGCCCAUAAUCCCACCUACUCGGGAGGCUGAGGGAGGAGAAUCACUUGAACCCGGGAGGCAGAUGUUGCAGUGAGCCAAGGUCGUGCCGUCGCACUCCAGACUGGGGGAGAAGAGCAAGACUUCAUCUCAAAAACAAAAAGUAUACCAGCACUGAUGACAACAUUGGACAAGUAGACAAAUCUAGAAGGGGCAGGUUGAGCUGUGUAGUUUUAGUGUUGUCACGGUUUGUUUAUAUGUUGUGAAAUAUUCAUUGAGAUCAAAAGCUGGCAUUCCUAACUUGUGUUAUAUGUAUAUUGGAGGCCAUAUGGAGUGGCAGAAGUGAAGUGAGGUUUGAAUUCAGACCGUUGUUCCUCAAGAAUGAAUUGACCUGGAGAGAAUUACUUGCAAUCUCUGAUCCUUAGUUCCUUCAUCUAGACAUACCCACCUGGGAUCAUGUGAGGAUCCAGUGAACUGUACAAGGUACCGCACAGGACAUGGUGCUUGCUGUCGGGGAGAGGCUCAAGGCCUUCAGUGCCUUUCCCUGUUAUUUUUGGGAGCAGUGCAUCUAUUUUGGUGUUUUUAAGAAACACUGUUUGACAAAUACAUGAGGCAUACUUCAUGGACUAUUGUUUCAGAUUAUUCUUAGAACACAGAGGCAGGAUCCACAAUGUUUUUAUGAGGAGAGCUACUUUUUAUUCCCCCAAACCUUGACUUUCCUGGACUAGAGGUCUCAGUGAUGUGUGCUGAUGUGACACCCUUGAGCAAAGUUGGAGAAGAGAGAGUGGUAAUUUCCACCACUUCCCCUUCUCCAAGACACUGGAAGUGCUGUGAACUGUGCUCCUUCGCUCCUCUGCUCUGUAAUCUCUGCCUGGGGGGGCUCUAGAGGGGCUCUAGGGAGGAGUGUCAGCCAGUGAUUUCUCCAUCUCGACCAGGUAGGGACCCAGGACCUUCUGGUGAAUUCUAAUUUGUUUUUUUAUGAGCCUGAGGGUCAUUUAAGGAAUUUGUGGAAGCAUUUGUGAUUGUCUCAGUGGUUGGUGGGUGCUAUAGGCAUUUAUUUAAUAGGUAGGGCCCAUGGAAUUCAAGGCUUAGUGUGGUGACAGUUCUGUAAAAUAGAACUUUUCCUAUGAUCUGCACAGCUUUAGAAUAUCUUUUUUUUUUUUUUCUGAGACCAAAUCUUACUCUGUCACCCAGGACAGAGUGUAGUGGUGUGAUCCCAGCUCACUGCAACCCGGGUUCAAGCGAUUGUCCUGCCUCAGCCUCCCAAGUAGCUGGAAUUAAGAGAUGUGCCACCACGCUCGGCUAAUUUUUGUAUUUUUAGUAGAGGCGGAGUUUUACCAUGUUGACCAGGCUGUUCUCGAACUCCUGACCUCAGGGGAUCCAUCCACGGCCUCCCAAAGUGCUGGGAUUACAAGCAUGAGCCACUGCGCCUGGCCUAGAAUAUCUUGAUGAAUAAUUUAUGUAGAUAGAAAAAAACUGUUUAAGGCCGAACCUAUAACUGAAUUCCAUUUUACAUAAAGGGUUUUUUUAAAUGUAAUUUUAGUAGAAAUGGAAAUUUCAGGAAAUGGAAUUAGUCUAGACUUUGAAGGGAAAUUAUCUCAUUUUGUUCUUAGUUUUAUUAAGUGUAUUACUAGUCUUGGUUCUCUCAAGAAACAGAACCGAUAGCAUAUAUAUAUAUCUCUCCAGUAGGACAGAGAGCGAGAUGUUUAUAUAUAUAGUAUAUUUAACUAUAUUUAACCAAUAUAUAUGAUUGUGUCAUGCGCAUCCUAUUGGUUCUGUUUCUCUGGAGAAAAUAUAAGUAUUCACCAGUUGCCCUUUAUCUAUGGUUUUGCUUUCCAUGCUUUGAGUACCUCAUGGUCAACCAAGGUCUGAAAAUAUUGAAUGGAAAAAUUCCUGAAACAAACAGUUGGUACGUUUUAAAUUGUGGACUGUUCUGAAUGACAUGAUGAAAUCUUGUGCGGUCUCAUUGUCACACCUGGAAGAUGAGUCCUCACUUUGUCCGAUGUAUCCAUGCUGUGUGUGCUGCCUGCCCAUUAGUCCCUUAGUCUUGGUUAUCAGAUUAACUGUCUGGUAUCACAGUGCUUGUAACCCUUAGUUCACUUAAUAAUGGACCCACAGUGCAGGAGUAGUGAUGCUAGCAUAUUGUAUUAUUGCUUACUUUAUUAUUAGUUAUUGUUGUUAAUCUCCUACUGUGCCUAAUUUAUCAACUUAACUUUAUCAUAGGUGGUAUGUAUACAUGGUCCCCAACUUACUGUGGUUCGACCUAAGAUUUUUCAACUUUAUGAUGGCAUGAAACUGUCACAUUUUGAAUGUAAUGUAUAAUAUUCAAUAAAUUACAUGAGGUGUUCAAUACUUUAUUAUAAAAUAGGCUUCAUGUUAGAUGAUUUUUGUCCACCUAUAGGUUAAUGUAAGUGGUCUGAGCAUGUUUAAGAUAGGCUAGGCUAAGCUAUGACGUUCAGUAGGUAAAGUGUAUUAAAUGCAUUUUUGAUUCAUGAUAUUUUCAACUUACGAUAUUUUUAUUCCAUCAUAAGUUGAGCAGCGUCUUUAUGUAUAGGCAAAAACAUAGUAUAUAUGGAGUUGGGCAAUAUCUGCAUUUUUAGGCAUCCGUAGGGGUUCUUGAAACAUAUCCCCCUCGGAUAAAGGGGAAGCAUUCUAUAUAUAACAAGAUCCUUAUUAAAGGAAUUGGCUCAUGCAAUUAUGGAGGCUGAGAAGUCCCAAGAUCUGCAGUUGGCCAGCUAGAGAUCCAGGAAAGCUGAUGGUGUCAUUCUGAUCUGGCUCUGAAGGCCUGAAAACCAGGAGAGCCACCGAUGUAAGUUUCUGUCUGAAAUCCAGCAGGCUUUAGACCCAAGGAAAACCAAUGUUUGUUUCAGUUUGAGUCAGACGGCAAGCAGAGAUGUCCCAGCUCAGCAGUCAGGUGGGAGGGGCUCCCUCUUACUUAGCCUUUUUGUUUUAUUCAGGUCUACAGUUGAUGAGAUGAGGCCCACCCACAUUAGGGAAGUUAAUCUGCUUUAGACAGUCCACUGAAUAAAACGUUAAUUUCAUCCAGAAACACCCUCACAGAAACACGCAGAAUAAUAUUUGACCAAAUGUCUGGGCACCCCAUGAUGCAGUCAGAUUGACACAUAAAUUAACCAUCACACUGAGAGUGAUUCACCUUUUUAGGUAAAUGAAGAAUCAAUCACAUUAUUGAUAGCAUUCAUGAUAGGUAGGGUGAUAUCUGAGUUGCCAAAAUGACAUACCCAAAUGAAGAGUAUUUGUAGCUGUGAAAUUCAGUGAUUCAACUUAGAGAUGUGGAUUUCUGACCAUUUUAGUCCUAAUAUAGUCCUGCCUGAAAAUUUACAUAUUGAAAUUUAUAUUUAUUUUAUUAAAAAUUGUUUUUAUAUUAUAGUUGCUGUGUUAAGUAGAUAUUUUUGGAAUAUAUAUGUAAUAAGUUAUUUCUGAAUUUUAUUUCAGGAUAGUAAAGGUAUAUUUUCAAUAGUUUUUAAAGAACGGGGGUGAGGCAUGGUGGUUCACACUUGUAAUCCCAGCUAUUCGGGAGGCUGAGGUGGCAGGAUCCAUUGAGCUUGGAAGGUCAAGACUGCAGUGAGCCGUGACUGCACCACUGCACUCCAGCAUGGGUGACAGAGUAAGACCCUGUCUCAAAAAAACGGUGAACAGGGGGUAUUUGGGUCUGAUAUGGCUAAGAACCAGCCGGUCUAAGUGAUCUCAAGCUGCCAGCCUCCUUGAACAGUCUGCAUCUCAGCAUCUUUAAAGGUUUGACUGUGUUUCUUUUCUCCUCUUGGACCUCUGCAAAACCAUAAUCUUUCUCUUUAUCACAUAUUUUACAGCAUUGGCAUAUAUUUUCCAGAAGUCCUUGUUCGACUUACAAUGUUUUUAUUUCAUCAUAAGUUUAGGAAAAACUUAUGGUUUUUUUUUUAAUUUUAGCUCUAUUGAUAUGUAAUUUAUAUGUCAUACAAUGCACUUAUUUAAAGUGUAAAACUUAGUGGUUUUCAAUAUAUUCACAGUAUUGUGCAACUAUCACCGUGAUCUAAUGUUAGAACUUUGCAUGUCUACAAAAAGAAACCCUGUAUCCAUUAGUAGCCAGCCUCUAUACUCCCUACCCCAACCCCUGGCAAUCACUUAUAUUCUUUUUAUCUCUAUAGAUUUGUUUCUGCUAGAUAAUUUAUAUAAAUGGAAUCAUAUAAUACAUGGUCCUUUGUGGCCUUCCAGUUUUUUUGUUCUUUAUUUAAAAAAGAAAACAAGAUACAUGUGCAGAACA